UAUUGGUUCCCCCUGCAAACCGCCGAGUCGAGUUCAACGGGUCAGGAGCGCCAUCAUGGAUGAUGGCGCAGCCGCAGCCGGCACAGGGAUGUGCCGUCUGCGGCGCUCCGUCCAACCCGUUGGACGAGACGAGGGAACCCGCGAAGCGGGCGGUUUGCCGGGGGAGAAGACU
rnacentral:misc_RNA from 2 species